rnacentral:rRNA from 1 species
ACAUGCAAGUCGAGCGGGCGAGGUUGCUUCGGUAACUGAGCUAGCGGCGGACGGGUGAGUAAUGCUUAGGAAUCUGCCUAUUAGUGGGGGACAACAUUCCGAAAGGAAUGCUAAUACCGCAUACGCCCUACGGGGGAAAGCAGGGGAUCUUCGGACCUUGCGCUAAUAGAUGAGCCUAAGUCAGAUUAGCUAGUUGGUGGGGUAAAGGCCUACCAAGGCGACGAUCUGUAGCGGGUCUGAGAGGAUGAUCCGCCACACUGGGACUGAGACACGGCCCAGACUCCUACGGGAGGCAGCAGUGGGGAAUAUUGGACAAUGGGCGCAAGCCUGAUCCAGCCAUGCCGCGUGUGUGAAGAAGGCCUUUUGGUUGUAAAGCACUUUAAGCGAGGAGGAGGCUACUUGGAUUAAUACUCUAGGAUAGUGGACGUUACUCGCAGAAUAAGCACCGGCUAACUCUGUGCCAGCAGCCGCGGUAAUACAGAGGGUGCGAGCGUUAAUCGGAUUUACUGGGCGUAAAGCGUGCGUAGGCGGCUUUUUAAGUCGGAUGUGAAAUCCCUGAGCUUAACUUAGGAAUUGCAUUCGAUACUGGGAAGCUAGAGUAUGGGAGAGGAUGGUAGAAUUCCAGGUGUAGCGGUGAAAUGCGUAGAGAUCUGGAGGAAUACCGAUGGCGAAGGCAGCCAUCUGGCCUAAUACUGACGCUGAGGUACGAAAG